UCAUUUUAAAACACAUCAAUCUUCAUCAUCUUUAAAUAAAAAGGAUAAACAUUAUGGAUUUCCAUUAUCUCAAGCAAAAACAAAGAGUUCAAAAUAUUAGUGGUAAGAACUGUCAAAAACUUGUGAUAGCUAUGAUGAAGAGAUUUAUGACAAAUUCGCUCAUGGCCAAAUCUAAUAUGGCAGCUGGAAAAGGCAAAGGAUCUUUUUAGCCUAACUAAGCUAUACAACUUAAUAAAAGUUUGUGCAUCGACUUCUCACGAAUCAUACACAGAGUCGAUUGUCAAUGCAAUAAUUGCUGAUUCGUGAAAACGGGCAACUUUUGCUUGUCUUAAAGUGCCUUAAAUCCAUCGUUAUAAUAUUACUUUGUUUGUAAAUUGUUUUAAAAAAUAAAUUUAAAAAUAACUUUUAAAUAAA